UACGUAGGGUGCGAGCGUUAAUCGGAAUUACUGGGCGUAAAGCGUGCGCAGGCGGUUUUGUAAGCCAGAUGUGAAAUCCCCGGGCUCAACCUGGGAACUGCAUUUGUGACUGCAUGGCUAGAGUGCGGCAGAGGGGGAUGGAAUUCCGCGUGUAGCAGUGAAAUGCGUAGAUAUGCGGAGGAACACCGAUGGCGAAGGCAAUCCCCUGGGCCUGCAACUGACGCUCGAUGCACGAAAGCGUGGGGAGCAAACAGG
rnacentral:rRNA from 1 species